AGAGUUUGAUCAUGGCUCAGGAUGAACGCUAGCUACAGGCUUAACACAUGCAAGUCGAGGGGCAGCAUGGUCUUAGCUUGCUAAGGCCGAUGGCGACCGGCGCACGGGUGAGUAACGCGUAUCCAACCUGCCUUACACUCUUGGACAGCCUUCUGAAAGGGAGAUUAAUACAAGAUGUUAUCAUGAGUAAGCAUUUUCGCAUGAUUAAAGGUUUACCGGUGUAAGAUGGGGAUGCGUUCCAUUAGAUAGUAGGCGGGGUAACGGCCACCUAGUCUUCGAUGGAUAGGGGUUCUGAGAGGAAGGUCCCCACAUUAGAACUGAGACACGGUCCAAACUCCUACGGGAGGCCA
rnacentral:rRNA from 1 species